CUGUGAAGUUAGCUAAGGUGGUAGGUUAAAAAUAAGAUGGCCCCGGAACCUCCUUCUGUGACUACAAGUCAACGCAAAUCUGGGAAAGAUCAUGUAACUCCACAUAAACUUGCUCUUUUGGUCUUGAUCAGAGAAUUUUGUGUGGUAAAAAACAAAGCAAGAAUGAUUAAUCCAUUGCUCGGCCAAACAGAUGAUGUUUGGGAACAUACUAAUCUACAGCAACGGGAUUUUGCUAUCAUUACUUUGAAACUUUUACAGAGUCCUGAUAUGGAUUUAAAGAGCUUUAAUGAUAUGGUGAAACCUAUCCUGCACCCCAGGACUUACCAACAGUUCCUUGAGAGGUUAGAGGAGUUAAAAACUAAAGGUGUAGCUGCAAUAAUGGAUUAUUUUGAAUCGCUGGAAAAUUUACUAGUAGAUCCUACUCACCAAACCCCAACAGUUCACAAAAGCAGUAUCCUCGGCUUGUUUAUUCGUCGAAUGUUUCUAGUUUUUGAUAAGUUUACCUUCAGUCAUGUGGCCAAUGUCCAUAGAAAGUUCUGUCAGUAUUAUACUACUGCUUUUGGGGAAGAUCAACAAAACAACUCACUGAUUGAUGAAACAUUGCCUGUGGAUGAUUCUAGGGAAAUGGAAGAAACUCAAGUGAUGGCUUCGCAGAAACAGGCAGAAUUCUUCAUUGCACAGCAGGUAGCUCUUCUUCAUAUCAAUGAAAGGGAAGCAUUACCACCUCCUCAACUACAACAAAAAAUACGAGACUUCCAUAAAGGGAAUCCUGAGCUUACAGAAGCACAUUAUUUAAGCUUCCUCAACAAUCUUCGUGUUCGAGAGUUCUGUGGAGCCGUAGAGAGUCUGUAUCAUCACUUUGAUCGAAGCACCUUGAUUGUUCCCCAAGAUUCAAAAGCUGUUACAGUUACAGAGGAGACGACACGAAGUUUUCGUUAUGCUGCUCUAAAUUUGGCAAUUCUUCAUGCGAAAUUUGGACACAGACAAGAAGCUGUGGCUGCCCUGAAAGAAGCAAUAACAAUGGCACAGGAAGCUAAUGACACUAUUUGUCUCCAGCAUUCUUUAUGUUGGUUAUAUCGUUUGUCACCAGAAAAUGCAGAACCACUUAUUGAAAAGUCCAUUUCAAAGUCGGGAGAGUUAAACCUGUGGUAUUUAUCAUCUUUGAGUGUGAAGGCUCUUGCACAGCUAAAAUGCUUUAAAGCAGCAACUCCCUCCUUUGUGUUUGAGCUCAUGAUGAAAAGUGACAUUCUGAAUUGUCAACACUCCAUGACUGAAUUACUGGGCACUGCCUACUCUCAAAGGGCAGCAUUAUGGACACUGUAUGGAAACAGCUGUAUGGCCAACCUCAGUAGUCAGCUGUUGUUAAACCUAAACACCACAGAUCCUGUAAGAGGAGGGAUAUACCAAAUAGGUGAAGGCUACUGUUUAGCUCUCAGAAACCUUGCCUGGGACUUUGCUCUUCAGGGUCACUAUUUGGAAGCAGAUGAGAUUCUUGCCUUAGCCAAAGACUUAUUCCCCUCAUACUCUGAACAUUCACAUAUUUGGAAAUUGUGUGAAGUUUCCAUUGCCUUUGAGAAAGCUCUGCUUCAAGGUGAAUGGCAAGUGGCAGAGAAAGCUGGUGUGGGUGUUUCAGUGCUAAACCAGUUAGAAGGCCGAUUCAGACGAGCUCAACUUCUGCUACAUCAAGGAGUCAAAGCAUCUGCCCACAGCCUUAUUCAGGCUCUGAUAUCUGACUGUGAACAGGAAACAGAGAGUUUGGCCUUCUUUCAUGUUAGAGUCCUCCUCCUCGAAUCAGAGCUUUACCUCCAGUCACCAAAUGUAUCUGUGGCUAUCUCUUGUUUAACUAGAAGUUUGGCAAUCUGUAAAGAAAACCAUUAUGCCUAUCUUGAAGCUAUUACGGUGCUAUAUCUAGCCGCAGCCCAGUUUCUGCUGAAGUUACCCUAUCAGGCUCUCCAACUCGUUGAUUCGGUUUUUUUGACGAUUCUCUCCCACGGCUCUUUGUACGACAAGGCAAGAACACAUCUAUUGUAUGCUAAGUCAGUGAUUGCUGCUGCUAAGUUGGAUGAAGGACAAGAAUCCUAUCACAAAGCUCUUCGUAAAGGAGUAGAGAUGGUAGGCACUGCAGUUGUUUUAUUCCAGCAGUUACUGGCUCAUCAUCGAGUUAAAGAUGCUCUUUACUGGCAGGCACAAUUUUACCACGAACUUGGAAUGUACGCCGAACGAAAUAAAUGCUCUCACCAGUUUAGCUUGUUGGGCCAGCAGGCAAGUCAUCGGUUGAUGGAUGAAGUGUUUGUUCUGUGAUUACAUAUUUUGUUAUAUUUAUGUAAAAAAGAACCUUAGUUUGUGUUAAUCAAUUGUUUUUCAAAGGCAAGUCAUCGGUUGAUGGAUGAAGUGUUUGUUCUGUGAUUACAUAUUUUGUUAUAUUUAUGUAAAAAAGAACCUUAGUUUGUGUUAAUCAAUUGUUUUUCAAAGCUGUGCAUGAUUUUUUUCACCCGUGUUCUGCCCAUUUCUCAGCCUCGUAAAGACUCGUCAAAAAACAAGCCAAUAAAAACGUGUCCGUCACGUCAUGAUCUUCUUAAAAACCACUCAAUAUCUCAUAUUGCUAGCCAUUGUAUGCCUUGUUAAAAGGAAUGCAUUAUUUUUCAAAAGAGAACAUUCAGUAAUUAUAGUGUUGGCAGUUUGUAUAAAAAUUAACUGUUUUAUAUUUUUAAAAUAAAACAUUUUUUUAUAACAUGAGUUUAAAGGGUAGAUGGUCAACAUCUGUAUCUUAUGUAGAAUCAAAUGUUGACCAGAUGAAUGGAAUUUGAAGUUCUAUGUCAAAUUUUUUUUGACUGAAAUUUGACACCUAAUAAAAGAGUUAAAUAUAAGUUAACUAAAAAUGACAUUAAACAUAAAAACUAGAAAUACUGCUCGUGCAGAAAAUGUAAAUAACUGUACCUGAUAACAGUAAAUUAAUAAUUAUGAAAGUAAUUUUUGGAGGGUGAAUUUCAGGUUGUAUGUAAAUGAUUAGGUGUGUGUGUGUGUGUCUGUGCUAUACAAAAUAUUGAAUAUUAGGAAUGUAAAAUAUUUUAGCGAUGACAGAGCAUAAUUAAUUUUAUAAAAUAUUGUCUAUCACUCCCCUCAUUUCAUUUUUGUGCAAGUCGGGCAUCUUAUCAUGUGAUAUCAACUAUGCUUGUGAAUGACAUAGUAGAGGUACUUCACAUCUUCACAGUUCCUGAUAUUUCAUGACAUAGUAGAGGUACUUCACAUCUUCACAGUUCCUGAUAUUUCACUUUAUUAUGCAGUGGAAUUGCCACAAAAAGCAAGGGCAGCCUGGUACAAGUGGUGCAUACUUGCGUUAGAGUGAUGAUGAUAUCUUGAGGCUAACCACACCUCUGAAAAAAUUAUCUUUUUGGUGCCUGAAGUCAUUCCCAAAGAUGCAGUACAUAUGCAGAAUGAUAUUAAAGUGUGAUAAACAUGCAGGCUACUUAAAUCAGUAAUAAUAAUAAUAAUAAAUAAGUCAAGGAAUGCAUUUACUUUAGUACAGUUGGAUGGCCAUUAUUAUCCAUUAGACUGAAGUCAAAGGCCAGCGGCACAAGCAUAUGUGGGCCAGCAUGGCCAGGAAGUUAGGGUGCUCAACUCGCAAUCUGCGGGUCGCGGGUUUGAAUCCCCGUCCCAUCAAACAUGCUUGCCCUUUCAGCCGUGGGGGGCAUU
rnacentral:misc_RNA from 1 species